UUUCACAGCUGGGAGAAGGUUCUUAUGCUGGAAUGCAGUGUUUUCCUUCACUUCUCAUUUAAACCAAAAAGUUCUAUUUUGGUCUCAUCCAUCAAAUUUUUUUCCCAAUAGUCUUCUGGCCUGUUCACGUGAUCUUUAGCAAACUGCAGAAGGGCAGCAAUGUUCUUUUUGGAGAGCAGUGACUUUCUCCUUGCAGCCCUGCCAUGCACAGCAUUGUUGACUAGUACAAGCCUUGCUCUUGGAGUGAUCUUUGUUGGUCUCCACUCCUGGGGAGGGGAACAAUGGCCUUGAAUUACCUCUGUUCGUACACAGUCUAUCUGACUGUGGAUUGGUGGAGUCCAAACUCUUUAGAGACGGUUUUGUAACCUUUUCCAGCAACUCUUUUCCUGAGGUCCUCAGAAAUCUCCUUAGUUCGUGCUUUGUAUGUACUUCCACACCAUGUAUUGUUAAGAUCAGACUCUGAUAGAUCCAUGUUCUUUAAAUAAAACAGGAUGCUCACUCACUCACUCACACCUGAUCAUCAUCCCAUUGUUCGAAAACACCUGACUCUAAUGUCAUCUUCAAAUGAACUGCUAAUCCUAGACGUUCACAUACUUUCCACUCACAGAGAUGUAAUAUAGGAUCAUUUCCCUCGAUAAGUAAAAGUACAAUUUGUCUCAUUUGUUUAAUUGGGUUGUCUUUAUCUACUUUUAGGACUUGUGUGAAAAUCUGAUGAUGUUCACAAACCUUCAAGCAGCACUGUAAAUAUAUAUAUAUAUAUAUUUUAAAUAAUUUUGUUUUACUAAUUGAUUUUUGGUUGCUCUACAGGAUGGUUAAAGUUUGGGACUAAACAAUGUCCAGACUUUGUCCUGAAUUUGUUUUCAUGAUGCUGUUUGUUUAGAAAUGUUCUGUAAUACACUCUGGGUUCUUCCAGGAACAGGUGUAUUUAUAAUGAAAUCAUGUGACACUUUAAUUGCACGCAGGUCGACAUCAUUUAACUAAUUAAUGAUGUCCAAUGCAACUCCCCCCUCCCCCCACGCCUCCACAUUUUGUGUAGAUUAUUAAUAUCAUAAAAUCCCACUUAUGUCCAUUUCACUUCCAGGUUGUUACACUAUGACCUGUGGUGGACAUCUGUGUAGUUCUGAGAGAUUUCUAUUAGUGUACUGACAAUGCAGAUACUGAUAGUUUCACCAAAAGCAUAACAGAGACUAUUUAAAAAUGUGAUUUAUUUUUCUUUUUUAUUUAACAAAGGCUUUUAACUUCCUGUGUCAACAAACCCAGAACUACAAAACAAGAGGUUCAGCAGACACGUCCGUUUCGAACAUCCAGUAACAUUUAAAUUAAUUCUUAAAACUCAGUGUAGUGUUUUUUCAGUUACAGAGGAGGACGUUCACUCAGUGUGGAUUCUUACUGAAAAAUGGACACCGUGCUGGACACCUUGAGAGAAAAACUACACGAGGAAACUGAAAACAUUUUAGAAAUAGUAAAACAAGAGCUCAAACAACGAGAAGAGGAGAUUGAGCGUAAAAGACUGAAACUGGAAAAGAAAAAGGAAAAGAUUGAGAGGAUGAAACAAGAACUACAAGGAGAGAUAGAGCAACUGUGAGAAGAAAUAGAAGAGAAAGAUGGAGAGAUAGAGCAACUGAAAGAGAAACUAGAAAAUAAAGAGGAAAAUAUUGACAGAAAGAGACAGAAGCUGGAAAACAGAGAUAAUGAUUUAGAAGAACAAAGACAAGAACUGGAAGAGAAAGAUGAAACAAUAAACGAACUGCGAGAAGAAAUAGAAAAGAAAGAUGAAGAGAUAGAGCAACUGCAAGAAGAAAUAGAAGAGAAAGAUGAAGAGAUAGAGCAACUGAAAGAGGAACUAGAAAAUAAAGAUGGAGAGAUAGAGAGAAUGAAACAGGAACUAGAGGAGAAGGUUGGGGAGAUAUGUGGUAUAUUUGAUUAUUAAUGUAAUGUGAUGCUAAUUCACAUUCUCACCAGUGCAGAUUUUUAAGAACUCCUGAAGAAACGGGUGUGUACAGUUCUGAUUAGUUAAGAUUAGGGUCAAAAUGAGGAUAAUUUGUUUUUAGAUUGAUUAGUAAAAAUGGGCUAAGUCUCAUUCUCACAGCAGGAUGUGUGUGCGAGAGAGAAUCCAUACUGCACAUGUACUACUUCCAUUCUGUCUACAGGAGAAUAAAUAAUUCCCCAGUAAUUUGGGAA